ACCACAGGUGGUCUUGACGAUCUUCUAUAGAGCAUCAGAUUUCUAAUCUGAGGGUCACAGGUUCGAGUCCUGUCCGGGGUA
rnacentral:tRNA from 1 species